rnacentral:rRNA from 1 species
ACGGGGGGUGCAAGCGUUGUCCGGAAUCAUUGGGCGUAAAGCGCGCGCAGGCGGCUUGGUAAGUCAGAUGUGAAAUCCCUGGGCUUAACCCAGGAAGUGCAUUUGAUACUGCCUCGCUAGAGUACGGGAGAGGAAAGUGGAAUUCCUGGUGUAGAAGUUGAAUUCGUAGAUAUCCGGAGGAACCCCGGUGGCGAAGGCGGCUUUCUGGGCCGGUUCUUACCGUUCAGGGGCGAAGCGUUGGGAGCAAACAG